GGUAUUGAAAUAAGAUUUUAAUUGAAUGCUAAGAGAAUGGAAGUCCAGAAAAAAACUUUUUUUAAAUUAAAAAUUGAAGUUUUUUUAAUUUGUGCAGAAACAAUUAUUUAUAUUAAAGACAAGAAGACCCUAUGAAUUUAUUAAAUUUUUAUUUAAUAUGUAAUUAUUAUUAGAAAAAUUUUGGCUGGGGCGGCUAGAAAAUAUUAUAAACUUUUUAAAAAUAAAAUGAUCCAUUAUUAAUGAUUUUAUGUUAAAUACUCUAGGGAUAACAGCGU
rnacentral:rRNA from 1 species